AAGAAUCAAGAACAUUGUUUAGGUGACACUGUAGAGAUGAACUCUUCUCCGGGCUUAGUGACUGUGUUACUCUUAGUGCUUGAACGAACCCAUGGAGACUCAGUGACCCAGAUGGAAGACCCUGUGACCCUCUCAGAAGGGGAUUCCCUGACUGUGAAAUGUUCCUAUGAAACCAUACAGUAUCCUGCUCUUUUCUGGUAUGUUCAGUAUCCUGGAGAAGGUCUACAGCUCCUCCUGAAAGCCAUGAAGGCCAACGAGAAGGGAAGCAACAAAGGUUUUGAAGCCACAUACAGCAAACAACCAAAUACCUUCCACUUGGAGAAAGCCUCCGUCCAGGCGUCAGACUCGGCAAUGUACUACUGUGCACUGAGUGACACAGUGACAGAAACUGCAGGGGGAGCUGAGCACAAACUCUGA